rnacentral:lncRNA from 1 species
UAAAAGAAAGCUAAAAUAUCCAAAUUACAAGUAGAGAUUAACCACAAUCCUAGGAAUAGAAAUUUAGUUCCACAUAUUUAUAACAAAAUCCAACAUUUUCAGAAUAUCAUUCAUUUCUACACUAAAAGGUAAACAAAGAAAGAUAGAACUAGUGAGAGAAAAAUGACCUAAUGUAAAUGAUUAAAGCUCCCCCCAAAAAUCCUUGAUUCCUUUUCUUUCCUUUUUGUAGAAAGCUUUUUUUUUCUUCGUUAUGAAUCUCCUCUUUUUAAGCCUUAAAAAGGCCUUAUUUACAUCUUGAAUCUUGGCUACCUGAUGAAAAAAUUGGAUAUCAGGAUUUAAAGAGUCCGUGUUGGUGCUAUGGCCAAAAUAGGUUCUUGCUGCGGCACCCACUACUAAUGUGGCUCAAUUUUUCUCCUUUUUUGGCGUUGCGACUACAAUGGAAUCUCGCCGUGACACCAAACUUUCUAUCUUAAGCACCUGUUAUUGAUGAAAUUGGCACUACAGCUAGAAUGGAAUCUGGCCACAAUGCCAAACUUUCUAUUUUGAGACUUCACAUUGUCGCUGAGUUUGGCACUACAGCCAAAAUGAAAACUUACCGUGGCUCUAAACAUGUUAUGUUGUUGUGUGUAGUCUACAACAAUCUUUCAGCUUUUGAUGCGAUUUUGACCAUGUACAAAUCAAAAUUAGGCUAAGUGAUAACACAAACAUUGUAGCCCUUCCACUUGGAUUUUCGAUGGUUUAAGAAUGACGUUGAUUGGACUUUUUUAGCUCGACUUAUGUCUAAAAUACUGCAGCAUGUUCGGUGAAGUCUACACUUGGCCAACUUGAACAAUUCCUUACCACUUGACCCCUUCUCUUUUGAGGACCUUAAAAACAUAAAAACUAAUUAGCCAUGGCUAAAAUAGGCAUUUUUACCAUAUAAAUGAAUUAAAAUAACUUGACGUAAACCAGCUCAAUCAUGAGUCAAUUAAUUUAAAAAAACAAAGAAAACUACUUAAAAUUUUACCUAAACUCAAAGACUUAGUUAUUUUAUUACUCAAAAUAUGGCAAGAUAACUCUAUAUAAUAGAGUUAGCAAAAGUCCACAAUUGUCGAGUAAAGAAAAAUUCCUUGGGAAACAAUAGCCGUAAAUAGUGGUUCAGCUAAACCAUUCACAAACUUUAUCACUUUCUUUUCUUCAAUAUCAACAAUAUAAGGAGCAUAGCAAGAUAACAGAUCAAAACAGACUUAAUAAUCAGGUAUCGUUAUAUUAAGAGUCUAUACUAAACGCUUAAAUUCACACCUUUUGGCCAUUUGCACCUCAAAAGGUAAAAAUCGAGCUUAGAAAGCUAUACUAAAUUCUUCCCAUGUCGAGGUAAUGGAAGCCAAGCAAUUUCCAAGGAGGAAAUUGUUGCACCAUGCCUGUGCUGCACCCUCUAAUCUAAAGUUAGUGAGUGUCACUGUUUUAUCCUCAAAACAUCCAAGGAUCUUACAACUACCCUAAAUAAUGUCUAAGAAAAGUAAGGGGUCCUCUAAUCCAUCUAACGCCAUGAAAGAUGGAGGAUUCAACCCAAGAAACUGAGAUAUGGGAAGUGUCCUUGACUUUCAUGAUUUCUCGGAUUGUAACUAAGUGCCUUAACUUUGUGAACCGAGGAAGGCCUUUGCAGUAGUGUGCAUAUUGCCCUGACUCCUUUACUCAACAAUCUGAUUGAUGAUCUCCAUAAUGUGAUUAAGGUUGCAUGCCUCAGUCAUGAUACUUUUUAGAGUUUUCCCCCAAACUGGGGACUCAACAACUGCCACAAGAAGCUGACACUUUUUGAAACCCUACUUUUAGACAUAAAGUUAGACUUGUAACCUAAGUCAGUGAGCUAAUGGGCUAAUGUUUUAAGCUUAUUUAUGGAAGCAUUUUAACUUAAAAGAUUCAUAAUUUAUGUAGUGUAUAAGUCUAUUUUGGAGUUGGUGUCUUUUUGCAGUCAAAAAGGAUGGUUUUGGACAUAAAAACUACCUUAUGGACAAAAUUUAUCGAUACAUGUUUAUCAUGUAUUAAUACAUGAAACCCAAAAAAAGAUUUUUUAUGAACAUGCAUCAAUACAUGUUGAUCAUGUAUCGAUACAUGAAACCCAAGGCAAAAUGUAUCGAUACAAUAUCCUUUUGUAUUGAUACAUCAAGCCCAUAUUUGAAAAAAAUAAGAUUAUUUUGGUUUCUUCUCAUUCAUUUAAAACCCUUAAACCUUUUGACUUUCCCCUUAGGGAAAAAAAUGAGGUUUUUCACUCAAAACCUAACCACCUUCAUCCUCUUUUGCUCUCAACAUCAUUUUUCUCAAAAUCAGAGGACUUUGAAGAUUUAAAGUGAUUUUCAAGCUUGUUUCUUCAUUCUAAGAACGUUAGAGGGUAAAGUUUUGAUUUUUAAACCUUUUAAAUUUAAGUUCUGGUUUUGAAAAUUUGUGGAUACUCAUAAAUUCAUUUUUGGUUCUAAAAACUUAAGUUUUGAGUUGAUUUUAGAACUCUCAAGCUCACUAAGGUAAAGUGGCUUUAACUCUAGCUACAAGUAGAUUUAAAUCCUUUAGUUGGAGUUAGAUUAGUUGCUAGAUCAAUAAUAUAAGAUUUUGUUAGAGAAUUAAAUAUUAAUGAUGGAAACUUUUGUGAUAGGUGUUUGUCACGACCCAAAUUUCGGGCCACGACCGGCGCAUGGGCCCAAUGGACGUAAUCCACUAAGCCCAACCAAGUCUAUUAAUCUGACAUGUUUAUCAUUCCAUCAUAAACUACUAAGUCACAUUUAAUAACUUAGAAUCAAAUUAUUACUACACAUUGCCAUCUCAUACUGGCAUACCAAACAAGUGUAUAUACAUUGUCUACAACAUGUAUCUUAACAAUUUACAUUAGGUUCGUCUAUACACAACAAAAUAAUACUCGACUUCUUGCGGAGGGACUCGAACGAAUGUACAGCUACUGAAUGCCGAGACACCUGCCAAAAGAUGGACACAAAUCUAUAAGGAUACCUCGUUCUAGUUACCGACUGCCUCGUGAUUUGAAAACAUGAAGUUUAAAAAUGGUGAGUAUAAACCCAGUGAGUGAACAAGGAAGGGAACACGCAACAAUUAGGGAGAAUUUAUAAUCAUGAUGCACUUGUUUCAAAACAAUGCAAUUUAGUUCCAUUCAUAUUAAAAACCCCUCAUCAAGCCCUUGAAUGAUUAAUCAUUUGAAAAUCAUGAACCCAUACAUAACAAACCAUUUGAAGAAUGAAAGCUUCAAUGAUACGCAAGCAAGUCAAAUACGACAACGAAUCUUCGCUGCAGCGAGAAUGCCUUUCCGUUGUAGCGACGUUGGGAUUUAGUUAUUAGCCGAACGAGGGUUUCUCAACUGGCCGAGGGUUUCUCACUAAACCUCCUCAUUUUAAACUUAACUCAUUUAGUCCUUAAUGUUGGAAGUCCAUGCUCAGAUAUGGUAGCAAAGAAGUGAAAAAUAGGGCAGCAAUUGCAACCUAGAAACAGAAAGUUUCUCGCUGCAGCGAGAAUGAAUUUCGAUGUAGCGAAAAGCUACAGUGUCAUUCUCACUGCAGUGAAAAUGCAUUCUCGUUGUAGCGAGUUUUUGGCCAGUCUACCCCUCCAAACCUGAGAGUUUCUCGCUACAGCAAAAAUGAUUCUCGCUGCAAUGAGAAACAGGGCACUAAUGAAAAAUUUGCCCUUCUUCCGAAAGAAAAACCACCCUGCUGAAAUGUCCAAACCAACAUGAAACGCAUAACAAUUUUCCACAGUUUAACAUGUCAAGUUUCACAUGCAUUACAACCAUAUACCAUUACUCAUUAAUUUCCUAUAUCACACAUAUUUACAUAUGUAUAUAUGUAUACGUAUACCCAUCAUCAUUAUCACACCAUCCCAUCAUCAUCAUCACCAACUCAUGCGCAUUCCCUACUCGCACAUGGCUGGGUCAUCACCGGGUUAUGCGCCUCCCUACUAGCACAUAACCGGGUCAUCCUCGACUUAUGCGCACUCCCUACUCGCACAUAGCCGAGUCCAUGUCAUUACACAACAAUAUAUUCAUAUAUAUAUAUAUAUAUAUCAACGCCAUGUGGUAGUGCAUGAAUCAAUAAUAGUCACAUGUCACAAUAUAAACCAUUUCUCAAGAGCUUGUUCCCAAGGCACUUAUCUUUUAAGAAAAGUUGUAUAAAAACAUUCAAACACUUUGUACAAAACAGUCACAAUCCCAAAAUAGUUUUAAUAGGCAGUCCACUCACCGAUUUAUUGUUGAGCCUUUAGUUGACUCUAAUUCCCUUAAUGAUCCAAUUGGAAGGAUGGGACUUCAUUAGAACCUAGGAUCAUAUUAGCAUAAACAAUAGGUCAAUUCACACACUAUGAACCCUAAAAGCUAUCUCUUAGCUAGCUUUCAAUUGCCACAUUAAAUGGCUAUCUAUGUUCACUAUCUUAAUCACUAAAAAAGUAAUGAACAUACUCAACAAUACAACAACUCUUAAUCUAAAUUACUAGUUAUUAUUCACACCUAAAAAUCAAGCUUGGUUCAUCACUCACCCUAGGGUUCCUUUGUAGUUGAAUUUUCUUCUAAUAGCUUCCAAAUCAAUGGGGUAAUUCUCUCUUUCUCUUUCUAAAAUGCCCAGCUAGUGAGAGAAAGUAUGGAAAUAAGCUUUAUCAAGGGUUUUGAAGUGAGAGAGUGAAAGAAUUAAAGAGUUCUAGUCAAAAGGGCUCAAAGGUAUGAAAACUAGAGCUAGAGAGAGAAAAUUAUGCAAGCUCCAUAUCAAGCUUCCAUGGAGGUUGGAAGCAACGUGAAAGAGAAGAAGACGAAGAAGAAGACAAGCUGCUGGAAGAAAGAUAUUUAUAGCUAAUCUUAUCCAUUCUCUUAAAAUUACGAAAAUGCCCUUGACUAGUUAGCUUGUUCUCAUGCAACCCUUUGUGCAAUCUUUUUGCUCUUUUGACACUAGGACAAGGUCCAUAAUGGUCUAAACAUACUCGAGUUUAUAAAAACUUAAAAUUUUAACCUGAGGUAAAAAAUGACCAUUUUGCCCAUGUUAUGAAAAUUGUUGAAACUUCUAGUUUUCUUCGUGUUUUCAUCAGUACACAUUAUUUAUGCAGUCUUAUACCUAUUUAGACCUUAAUAUAUCAUAAAAAUUUCUUUUGAGAGCUUAUUAGAGAAAAUGACGAAACUACCCCUAGUUCGUAUUAUUACAUCUAUGCUUAAUUACAAGCCUAUAGAGGUUGAGGUCUCACAGUGUUGUGGAGAAAGUUUGAACCUUUGGAAAACCAAGUGUUUGACGAAAGUAGCUAGAGAGUAAGGUGCGCUUCUUUGAGGUGGGUGGAUAUGGUGUUUUUAAUUAUUUUGAUAUAAUUAAGCAUACCUAUUCUACAACCUUACAUAUAAAUGGAUUUUGAUAACAUUUGCGUGGUGAACAAGUGUUUUUAAGUACGUUUGAUGACAAAGUAUAUAUAGUCUCCUGUAUUGUAAAACCUGACCUUAUAAACACAUGUCAUGACAUACAUGCAUUGAGUAGCAUGUUAUUACGCUAGAAAAGCACCUAAGAAUAGAUGAAACCCGAUAUUGUACCUAACGAUACACUUAAAUUGAUUUAACCUCGAAUUAGUUCAAAUAGGAAUUGUAGGAUGAAAUUUAAUAUUUUAUAGUCCAAAAAUGACUAAAAAUGAUUGUUCGGAGUUCGAAGGUUCAUUUGGGGUAAAAUUGAAAAUUUUGAUAUUCAAGGGCAAAAUCGUCAUUUUGCCACCUAAGAUAAUAAUUUGAUCAUGGAGUGAAAUUUUUGACCAAGAUUAACUAUUUGGAGUAUAAUUUAAUGAUAGGAAGUGAAAAAGUUUAAUUAUGGUGAUUUCUGGAGUGUAAGGGCAAAAUCGUAAUUUUACCACCUACGGACAAAAUUUGAGAUUUUGAGAGAAUUUAGAUCAAAUUAGAUAAAUUGGAGAAUGGUAUGAGUAUAAGGGAUGAAAAAUAUGUCUAUGGGCAAUUUUUCAGUUUUUUGGGCAAAAAUGUAAUUUUUCACUUUUACGGGGGCAAAAGUGUAAAUUUCAAAAAUUACUCCACCGAGACUUUGGAUAAGUCUGAGAAUUUUAUCUAAGCUAUGGAUAUGUGAGACAAGUGUAUGGUGAAAAUUUGGAAACAAAUGGACGAAAUUUUAAAAAUGGGUCAAUGGGAAAGUGACACGUGGCAUUUUUAAAAAUGAAAUAGUAUUAUUUUAAUGAAAAGUCAGCCCAUUUAAACCCCAUUUUAAGUGCUAGCCGGCCAUAAGGAAGAACAAGAGAGGAAAUAGAGAGGAAAGAAAGAAAAAAAAGAAAAACCAAAGAGAAACAAGAAAAUUCAAAGGGAAAUUCGCGAUUUUCGACCGUUUACGCGUCUAACGGUAAGAUUUUUCGAUUUUAGCUUGAUUUCUACCUUUCCUAUGCCUUUAUUUCCAUUUAGCAUGCUUGAGGAGAGAGAUCAAAAAGUGAUAUCAAGGGCUGGACGAAAUUCUAGGGGAGAGAAAUUGAAAUUUUUAGGUUUUGAUUUUUAGUUAAAUUGAUAGUUUUAGUUAGUUAAAUGUGUUUAGAAAUUAAAUUGGGCAAGAAAUCAUUAAAUUUUCACAAUACCCACUCUUGGCUGGAUGCUCAAUGCUGUACAAUGAUGAUGAAUUGAUUUUAUUCUAAGGGAAAUGAAGAGAAAAUGAUGAAAAACGAUUAAACGUGAUAGAAAAACAAAGUAGAAAAUUAACCGAGUUAAUGUCCCAUUUUUGGCCGAAUUUUCCAAGGAAGGGAGUGAGCUGAUUUUGUUGUUUUUAGAAGGUUAUUGGCUGAUAUUUAAUGGUUAGAAAUGUUGGAGAGAGAAUGGGAUGAUUUAGAGCUAAAAUGGAGCGCGUUAGCAAUUUAUCGGGCAAAGUGCCAAAAAUAGGUUAAUACCGCGUUUAAGCCGUUUUAGGCUAUUGCAUUUCAUACCAUGCAUUAGUAUAGGAUUUAAGUUAAUUAUAUAGUGAUUUAGCAUCAAUGUGAUGAAUUGUGUAAAUUUUUGUAAUGUGUCUAGGAGGAGAGCCUUCCGGAAAAGGCAAAGAAGUCGUACCCGACGAGUAGUGAUCGGGGCGCUUAGAAAGCUUUUAGUUUGUACAAACGGUGAGUAAACUUAUUAUUAUUGUAAAUUAUCUAGAGUUUAUUUUAAAUGCCCUUUAUGUAUUUUAUGAAAUGAGAACGAGAUUAAAACGGGAUUUUUGAUGUUUUAGGAAUAAAUGUGACAAAUAAAAAUAUAUUGUAUUGAUUAUGAAAUUGAGUAAUUGGAGGCUGCAAAUUGACUUGAAAAAUAUAUAUUUUCCUAGGAAUGGCUUAUGAGAAAUGAGUAUAUGUGGCUAUAUUUUGUGAGUGCAUUUGGGAAAUUUAUGUAAGUUGGUUUUACUAUGCAGGCUGGAUAAAUAAAUAAAAGCCACGUUAUACUGUCGAAAUUUUAUUAAAAUUGGUGGGUUAGUCACUGCAGUGACGGGUUUCCGUGGACUGCCUAUUAGAGGGGCACGGUAAACCCAGUUAUAUAGUUACUCCGGUUGUAGAGGCGAGGAGGGUAACUCCCGGGGUAGUAUUAGAGCUCACUUCACGUCGAACCCCCACGUGAAUGUGUAACUCGGCCAACGCCAAGGAACGGCUGGUUUUAAAAAUAAAAAUGUGUUUCACGUGUGAAUAUUUUAACACCCUUGGCGGACUCGGUUAGAUGCCUCGGCCAAGGUAUCCCCGAGGAUUAGUUUUGGCUUGAGCCUUGUUUUAAUAAAAGACAUAAGCCUUAACAACUGUUUUGGUAAAUUACAAAUAUUUUAUGGUUUAAGAAAUAAAUUGAAAACAUUAUGAAAUGGGUUGAAAUUUGUUGUUUAAACUUGCCUCCAUUUUACUCGCCUUUAGAUAUUUAUGAUAAUGUCUGUUUACUCAUUGGGAUUGCAAAAUCUCACCCAACUCCUUUCCACCCAUUUCAGGUUCAGUAUAGACUGUAGAUAGCUGAUCUCAUCGAGGACUACCAUUGGAUCUGCAUUUUCCAAACCGUAGGUUCACAGUCCUCUUUACUUUUGUUUAUUCGGGGGCCCUCUUGUUAUUGUAAAUUAAAUUAAAUAUUUUGGCUUACUGUAUUUCAGUAUGUAUAAAUUUAUUUAGCUUUUACGCUAUAAAAAUUAUUCACGUAUAACUCUAUAAAUAUUGUUUUAUAAGAAAAUAGAAUAUUUUCCUUAAUAUUUCUUUUAUUUUCUUAUUAUAUUCAAAUAAUUGUAAUUUCAUUUUAAAUGAAGAUUUUAGACUUUUAAACUCAUUUUGAAUAUGAAUUAUGUGUUUUGUACUUGUAUAUUACGUUUUAGCCAGUUUCGAAAUUUUUGAGAAAAAAAUGAUCAAAAUACCCCUGUGUGGCGAAAAUUUUAUCUUGAUUGUUUUUGAUCUAAAAUAGUAUACAUUCUCUAAAAACUCGAUAUUUAACAAUGAUUGCUCAUAGGAAAGGAAAGAAACUGAUAUGUAAGCCUUGCAGGGUUCCGGUUGGCAUUCCGGAUAAUGAGUGUCAAUCGGGACGUCGCGUCGAUUGUCAUGGGCCUGAGGGAGGUUCCGGGUCGUGACAUGUAUAGUAUUUGAAAAUGGGGAACAAGCCUUUCAAUUGUAUUUAUAUCUCAGCAUCUCAUUUGUUAAUGAUUGAUGCAUGAUGGAUGGAAUUCAAAAGUUGCAUGACAAAUGUUUUUCUCCUUAAUGAUGCCAUGGUAUUUAUAACCUUUUAUUCUAAAGUGUUGUGUGGUUUUAUGUUGUCUCAACCUUUAUGGAUAUUGAUGACUGAUUUCAUCCCUUGAUUGAUUAUACACUGUACAUUGAAUUGUUGUAUUGUGGUUGAUGGAGCCUAUAGGUAUAAGGUUUUGUAGCUAAUGGCAGGAGGCACUAGCCAUUGUGCACAAAGAGUGGCAGCUUGAGUUGGUUGAGAAAUUCCCAAGACUCACUGGAUAUUGGUAGUUAACAAAGUACUACCCUUUUUAUGAAUAGUUGUCGGCCUAGAGCAAUGGGCUAUUUGGUUUAGUGUGACGAUACUAGGUGGUUUGGAUGUCCUAGGUUAACGCUCCAUUUUGAUUGAUUGAAUGCCUAAUGUGUGGAUUUAGACUAAGUUAUUAUUGAACUCAUGAUUGAAUUGAUGAAUUGUAUCAUGCCUAUUGUUACAUGAUGUUUAAAUAUUUUUUAAUUGUCUAUGGUUGAUUUAUAGUCUUGCUUGAGGUCCUAGUGGUUAGUUAUAGGCUGAGAUUUUGCUAUUUGCAGCAAAUCUAUUGAUACAUAGAGCCACUCUAUCGAUAGAUUCAACACAAACUGAUGGAUUUGCAUUUUGCUUCAAAUUUAUCGAUACAUUGGAGUAAUGUAUCGAUAGAUAGGGCUGUGCAAAUGGUUAGUUCGAUUAUUGAAUAUCCAAUAAUCGAACUAACCGAACUCUUAUAUAAAAAUAAUCGAAAUCGAACCGAACUAUAUAACUAACCGAACUAAUUGAAAACCGAACUUAAUAAAUUUUUUUUGGUUUGUAUAUAUUUAUUUAUGUUGUAUUUUUUUAAAUAAAUCAAUAAUAAAAAAAUAUUAAAAAUGACCCUAAAAAAUUAUAAUAAAUAAAAUGAAUACUCAUAUAAUUUGUAUGAUAUAAAUAACAAUAAAUAAUUUAAAACAUAGAUAAAAACAACAAUAAAUAGUCUUGAGCAAAUAACAACAAAUCAUUAAUAGUAUUUAACUAGAUAAAAACAAUAACAAAUAGUCUUCAAUAAAUAGGUUGUACCCUUAAACCAGGCCCUGAAAAGUUUAUACUAGUAGAAAUAGAGGUGAGAGACACUAAACCAGCUAGAGACUGUGUAGCAGAGGGGGGUUCAGAUGGAAGGAAAGAUGUAGGAGACAAGGGUGGAGCAACAAAGGGAAGUGCAAUGGCAGGUGCUUGGGUUGGAUUUUCAGCAGCAGGCACAUUACUAACAUUAGCACAAAAACCACUCAUUUCAAGAGUAAGAACAGUAGACCCAAUUUGGCUUUUUUGUUUGUAAGAUCCAAAACACCAAUAUAUGCUCUAGCAGCACCCCCGUCUUCUCUUUUGAAUGUCACAAAAAUUUUAAAUAAAUGAAUGUCACAACCUUGACCAAUUAACAACUAUAUCUCAAUCCCAAAUUGUAUAAUAUCAACUUUGCUUUACUUUUCUUUUGUUUUCUUUAGUUAUGAUCUAGGGACUUUUGCCAAAUGAAAGUAAAAGUAGAAAUAAAAGGUGAAGAAGAUCACCUGAAUUCAUGAAGUUUUCUGGAUAAAUAAGAAACCAAAAGGAUUAAAAGAUUUUCAUUAAAUAUAUUGGAGAAACUGCAUAUACUAGUAAUAAACAUUGUUUCAUCAGCACAGAGUAUCCAAAGAUAUCUGAUAAGGUGCUCGAGUAUUGUCUGAUAGAUAGCUAUAACUCACUUUUUAGAAUGAAACUGGUAAAGCUAUGACAGUUAAAGAGGCAAAAGCAAAUGAUCAGUCUAGGAUAGGCCACAAAAAGCUAAAAGAAGGGAAAACUACAUCAACAAAACAUUUGUAAAGAAUCAAACGAUAUGUUAUGUAGCAGAAAGUGGGGAGACUAAUAGGGAUUUGCCCAACUAAAUUUCAUUGACCGUUUCUUUUUCAAUGACGAAGAAACUGAAAAAGUAAAAACUAAAAACCAGAAAAAAACUAAAAAGAAUGGUGAAGGAUCAAAAGAUGAAGGAUGGCAGAAACCCAAAAAAACUUACCAGUUACUUGAUGUGGGAAGGCACGGAAAGGUGAAGGAUCAAGGACGACAGCAACUUGGACUUGCUAAAGAUGAGAGAAGGGGAAGAGAAGAGGGUGGAGAGUGGAAAGUGGAGACGAGACGGUAGUUGGAAGAAACCAAAAAGGGCAAGAGUGGAGACAGGACGAUAGUCAGCAGAAACCAGAAAGGGCGAUUGUGGAGACAAGACAGC